CACCGCAAGCCCGAGCGUCUUAGUUCGCUGCGGGAAGCUGGGGUCCUUGCUGCGUCUGAGCCCGUACACAAUGAGAGGGAAGAGCCCGGCUGAGCCUGUGGAGACAACCGAUUCAUUCUUUGGAGAAACAGAGCUGUCAGUCAGUGCUGAAUUAGUGCCUACCUCAUCAUGGAACAUUUCAAGUGAACUCAACAAAGAUUCUUACCUGACCCUUGAUGAACCAAUGAAUAACAUCACCACGUCCCUGGGCCAGACAGCAGAACUGCACUGCAAAGUCUCUGGGAAUCCACCUCCCACCAUCCGCUGGUUCAAAAAUGAUGCUCCUGUGGUCCAGGAGCCCCGGAGGCUCUCCUUUAGGUCCACCAUCUAUGGCUCUCGGCUGCGGAUUAGAAACCUCGACACCACAGACACAGGCUACUUCCAGUGCGUGGCAACAAACGGCAAGGAGGUGGUUUCUUCCACUGGAGUCUUGUUUGUCAAGUUUGGCCCCCCUCCCACUGCAAGUCCAGGAUACUCAGAUGAGUAUGAAGAAGAUGGAUUCUGUCAGCCAUACAGAGGGAUUGCAUGUGCAAGAUUUAUUGGCAACCGCACCGUCUAUAUGGAGUCUUUGCACAUGCAAGGGGAAAUAGAAAAUCAGAUCACAGCUGCUUUCACUAUGAUUGGCACUUCCAGUCACUUAUCUGAUAAGUGUUCUCAGUUCGCCAUUCCUUCCCUGUGCCACUAUGCCUUCCCGUACUGCGAUGAAACUUCAUCCGUCCCAAAGCCCCGUGACUUGUGUCGCGAUGAAUGUGAAAUCCUGGAAAAUGUCCUGUGUCAAACAGAGUACAUUUUUGCAAGAUCAAAUCCCAUGAUUCUGAUGAGGCUGAAACUGCCAAACUGUGAAGAUCUCCCCCAGCCAGA
rnacentral:sRNA from 1 species